AUCCCACAUGGAAAAUGGGGAAGGACUAAUAAAGCAGGAGAGGAGCUUGCUUCUUCAAAACAGAAAUCAUUGUUUCAAGGAUUCACAGAGUGUCUUUUAGAAACGCUGGAACAGUACUCACAUCAAAGCAUCCUGGUGUUCAGAACAGGUGGCACACAAAGCCUUUUUUCUCUGUAAUUUCCUUAUGAAAGCCACAUUAUUUAUCUUUCAAACUCAUGCGAAAAUUACAAAAAGAAAAUAAAACAAGUAGGAAAAGUGUUUAUAGGAAGAGUUACAGUCCUGAGGAAUAUUCUCCAAGGGAAAUGAAUGUUUAAUUACACAUACAAGGCAGUGCUUACCCAAUCGAGAGACUCUUCUCAAGUCCUGACGGCUGUUUCCUGGCAUGCAUUGCUUUGGAGGAUCCAUAAGUGACUUGUUUGCUCGGGUAAUGCACGCUUCCACGGCACGCUGCGGAGGUAACAGCACACGGAGAGAGUUUAAUUAUGGAAAAGUCUCCCGACUGUGGAGUUAUCCAGCGUUCCUGACAGAGAACACGCUCCCGGAAAGCCCUGCUCAGAACGAGCCGCAUGUCCCCAAGGCUGACCAGAGAAGAAGGGGAGGACCUCGUUUGUCUACUUUUGAAAACAGCAAAGAUGUUGGGUGUUUAUACCGACACAAUAGUUUUAAACAGAUUAACAGGGGAAUAUCGCAUAAUUGCUAAAGAAACAGCCUAUGAUCAAUUAAUUACUUCUCUAACAAAAAAAUCCUUUAUGCUACCGUUCUCUCCUCAAUUAGUUGAUAAGCUGAAAGACAGUCACUGAACAUUUCACCUAAACACAGAAAGGAGAAUACACCAUCUUAAUUGUUGUUUUCGCCUUUUUUUUUUUUUUUUUUUUUUUAGCUAUGCUGAAAGACUUACCAGUUUCCUCUAUAUCCUCUUUGUUCCAGCUUAUAAAGGAACGCUCUUACUGUGAUGAAUUUCAUGCCACAUUUUUAAAGAAAUGAAAAACCACCCACAUGUCAAAAAGAACAACAAAAGCAUUAAAAAAAAUCACUGGUUUUAAUCUAAUUGAACAUCAGCCAGGACUGUCCCUGCUGCAAUUGUGGUGCUGUUAACACGCAUAGCAAAGUGUCCCAGCAGGUGAAAAAAAAAUAUUACAGACCGACGGGUAGUCACAGUCACAUCUAGCGAUAGCAAGAAAUUGAAGACAAUUAGGAAGCACACCUUCCCUCCAUGCAGCAACUUUGUCACUGCAAACUAAGUCAAUUACAAUUACAAAUAAACCUUUUUUUUUUUUUUCUCUUUGCCCA
rnacentral:lncRNA from 1 species